UACGUAGGGUGCAAGCGUUAAUCGGAAUACUGGGCGUAAAGCGUGCGCAGGCGGUUUUGUAAGUCUGACGUGAAAUCCCCGGGCUCAACCUGGGAAUUGCGUUGGAGACUGCAAGGCUAGAAUCUGGCAGAGGGGGUGAGAAUCCACGUGUAGCAGUGAAAUGCGUAGAGAUGUGGAGGAAUACCGAUGGCGAAGGCGGGGACCUGGCCCAACAUUGACACUUAGGCUCGAAAGCGUGGGGAUCAAACAGG
rnacentral:rRNA from 1 species